UCUCCGUAGGUGAACCUGCGGAGGGAUCAUUACAGAGUUCUCCGCCUCGCAGGUAGAUCUCCCACCCACCGUUGUCGUUACUGUCGUUUCUUUGGCGGGCCGCCGGGUCCCCGGCCGCCGGCGUCUAAUACGCGGCGCGCGCCCACCAGAGGCCUUCGAAGCCUGAAUGUUACUGUCGUCUGAAUACUAUAAAAUAGUUAAAACUUUUAACAACGGAUCUCUUGGUUCUG
rnacentral:misc_RNA from 1 species